rnacentral:rRNA from 1 species
GACGAACGCUGGCGGCGCGCCUAAUACACGCAAGUAGAACGCUGAAGAGAGGAGCUUGCUCUUCUGGAUGAGUUGCGAACGGGUGAGUAACGCGUAGGUAACCUGCCUUGUAGCGGGGGAUAACUAUUGGAAACGAUAGCUAAUACCGCAUAACAAUAGGUGACACAUGUCAUUUAUUUGAAAGGGGCAAUUGCUCCACUACAAGAUGGACCUGCGUUGUAUUAGCUAGUAGGUGAGGUAACGGCUCACCUAGGCGACGAUACAUAGCCGACCUGGGAGGGUGAUCGGCCACACUGGGACUGAGACACGGCCCAGACUCCUACGGGAGGCAGCAGUAGGGAAUCUUCGGCAAUGGGGGCAACCCUGACCGAGCAACGCCGCGUGAGUGAAGAAGGUUUUCGGAUCGUAAAGCUCUGUUGUAAGUCAAGAACGAGUGUGAGAGUGGAAAGUUCACACUGUGACGGUAGCUUACCAGAAAGGGACGGCUAACUACGUGCCAGCAGCCGCGGUAAUACGUAGGUCCCGAGCGUUGUCCGGAUUUAUUGGGCGUAAAGCGAGCGCAGGCGGUUUGAUAAGUCUGAAGUUAAAGGCUGUGGCUCAACCAUAGUUCGCUUUGGAAACUGUCAAACUUGAGUGCAGAAGGGGAGAGUGGAAUUCCAUGUGUAGCGGUGAAAUGCGUAGAUAUAUGGAGGAACACCGGUGGCGAAAGCGGCUCUCUGGUCUGUAACUGACGCUGAGGCUCGAAAGCGUGGGGAGCGAACAGG